AUUGGGACUAGUUCGUGAAUGGGAUGACUCGACUUGCACACACAUUAGACUAAAUUAAUAUAGAAAAUUAAAUCAAACUUGAAUUACCUCUAAUAAUUUAUUAAAAUGCAAUGACGAGGGGAAACACAUUUUCUUCUGUUAAUAUUUAAAAUAUGUGCAUAACAAUAAUAAUAAGUGCUAUGUAAAAUAGAUAAAUUUGUAUAUUAUUU
rnacentral:lncRNA from 1 species